rnacentral:lncRNA from 1 species
CCCUCCCCGCGCCUCACUGACAGGUGGAGCUGUGCCCCGUCUGUCGUCACGUGACGGGGGGUGGGGAGGAGAUACCGCCUCGCGAGAGCGCUGUGACGAAGCUACCGCGGCCCCGCAGGCGUGAGGGAGGGGAGGGGGUGCGGCUGCCGGCUGCCAGCGGAGGGCUUGGCGGGGCCAUCCAGUAGGGGAGCGGGAAGGAGCUUUACGGAGCGUUUGAUCUAACACGGGGAUGAUUAACAAAGAUGGACAACAGCAUUAUAGUCACUUUGGGCAGCUGAAGCUGACCACGUAAGUGCAGCAUACCAAGUCAGGCGAGGAAGGGGCAUAAAAUUUGCCCUCUGAAAAAAAAAGAGAAGAAACACCCCUCACUUGCAGAAAGAAAAUUCUGACUAGGAAAUACCAGGGAGCUUGCAUGAAAAGCAGUAAGACAAACAGAUCUGAUCUCUAUGUGGCCCAUGUCAAAAUUCCUCUGGAUGGCAGCAAGACUGGGAUCCAACUGGAAUCACGCAGAUUCAGCUGCCAGGAAACACGAGUAACCUGUGCGCAUGACUACCUUUGUGUUUACACUUCGUGCAGCUUCCAGCAAUGCACCUCUUUUUGGGACAGGGCAGUUUUUAAGUCUGAUCCUCUCAGUGCGCUGCUGGUUGUGCACCCACACAAACUGGGGAACCAGCUGGACACAGAUAUCACCAACUCUUUCUGAGAUGUGUUGCAGAUGGAGCACAGAGACUCUCAGACUCUAAGAUGAUAUAUGAAUCCUGAGGCAAAAGAAGACCUGAACCCAAACAAUCAACUGGGGCUUUCACCAUCUGAC